rfam:Echinostoma caproni strain Egypt genome assembly, scaffold: ECPE_scaffold0001586
GCACUGCUGACGAGUCCUAAACAGGACGAAAGAGCAGUCCAGUGC